rnacentral:rRNA from 1 species
CGUUCCCGGGCCUUGUACACACCGCCCGUCACACCACGAAAGUCUGUUGUACCCGAAGUAGGCGGGCUAACCCGCAAGGGAGGCAGUCUCCUAAGGUAUGGCCGGUAAUUGGGGUG